AGUGAACGCUGGCGGUAGGCCUAACACAUGCAAGUCGAACGGCAGCACAGUAAGAGCUUGCUCUUACGGGUGGCGAGUGGCGGACGGGUGAGGAAUACAUCGGAAUCUACUUUUUCGUGGGGGAUAACGUAGGGAAACUUACGCUAAUACCGCAUACGACCUACGGGUGAAAGCAGGGGAUCUUCGGACCUUGCGCGAUUGAAUGAGCCGAUGUCGGAUUAGCUAGUUGGCGGGGUAAAGGCCCACCAAGGCGACGAUCCGUAGCUGGUCUGAGAGGAUGAUAAGCCACACUGGAACUGAGACACGCUCCAGACUCCUACGGGAGGCAGCAGUGGGGAAUAUUGGACAGUGGGCGCAAGCCUGAUCCAGCCAUACCGCGUGGGUGAAGAAGGCCUUCGGGUUGUAAAGCCCUUUUGUUGGGAAAGAAAAGCAGCAGGUUAAUACCCCGCUGUUCUGACGGUACCCAAAGAAUAAGCACCGGCUAACUUCGUG
rnacentral:rRNA from 1 species